UCAGGAUGAACGCUGGCGGCGUGCCUAAUACAUGCAAGUCGAGCGAGCGGGCCUAGAUGAUUUUAGUGCUUGCACUAAAUGAAACUAGAUACAAGCGAGCGGCGGACGGGUGAGUAACACGUGGGUAACCUGCCCAAGAGACUGGGAUAACACCUGGAAACAGAUGCUAAUACCGGAUAACAACACUAGACGCAUGUCUAGAGUUUGAAAGAUGGUUCUGCUAUCACUCUUGGAUGGACCUGCGGUGCAUUAGCUAGUUGGUAAGGUAACGGCUUACCAAGGCAAUGAUGCAUAGCCGAGUUGAGAGACUGAUCGGCCACAUUGGGACUGAGACACGGCCCAAACUCCUACGGGAGGCAGCAGUAGGGAAUCUUCCACAAUGGACGAAAGUCUGAUGGAGCAACGCCGCGUGAGUGAAGAAGGAUUUCGGCUCGUAAAGCUCUGUUGGUAGUGAAGAAAGAUAGAGGUAGUAACUGGCCUUUAUUUGACGGUAAUUACUUAGAAAGUCACGGCUAACUACGUGCCAGCAGCCGCGGUAAUACGUAGGUGGCAAGCGUUGUCCGGAUUUAUUGGGCGUAAAGCGAGUGCAGGCGGUUCAAUAAGUCUGAUGUGAAAGCCUUCGGCUCAACCGGAGAAUUGCAUCAGAAACUGUUGAACUUGAGUGCAGAAGAGGAGAGUGGAACUCCAUGUGUAGCGGUGGAAUGCGUAGAUAUAUGGGAGAACACCAGUGGCGAAGGCGGCUCUCUGGUCUGCAACCGACGCUGAGGCUCGAAAGCAUGGGUAGCGAACAGGAUUAGAUACCCUGGUAGUCCAUGCCGUAAACGAUGAGU
rnacentral:rRNA from 1 species